rnacentral:rRNA from 1 species
AUUGAACGCUGGCGGAAUGCUUUACACAUGCAAGUCGAACGGCAGCACGGACUUCGGUCUGGUGGCGAGUGGCGAACGGGUGAGUAAUGUAUCGGAACGUGCCCAGUCGUGGGGGAUAACGUAGUGAAAAUUACGCUAAUACCGCAUACGAUCUAUGGAUGUAAGCGGGGGAUCGCAAGACCUCGCGCGAUUGGAGCGGCCGAUAUCAGAUUAGGUAGUUGGUGGGGUAAAGGCCCACCAAGCCAACGAUCUGUAGCUGGUCUGAGAGAACGACCAGCCACACUGGAACUGAGACACGGUCCAGACUCCUACGGGAGGCAGCAGUGGGGAAUUUUGGACAAUGGGCGAAAGCCUGAUCCAGCCAUUCCGCGUGCAGGAUGAAGGCCCUCGGGUUGUAAACUGCUUUUGUACAGAACGAAAAGGUUUCUACUAAUACUAGGAGCUCACGACGGUUCUGUAAGAAUAAGCACCGGCUAACUACGUGCCAGCAGCCGCCGCGG